AAAAGCCUGCAGUUAAAUGAAGGAGAACUGAAGAUCUUCAUUAGAAGUCAUAGUGAUUCCCACCACUUGUUUAUGGUGGAGUUCAGAUUCCCUCUCCAGGGACUGGUCUAAGCUUACCUCCUCCCCUAUUGACCUGAAUAUCUCGCCCUCCUAACAUUAAAAGACCUGAGUGAAUUUUCAUCACAUUUCUCAGGAGACUAAACUUAGUGGAACUUUGAAGCGUGCCUUGGAACACCAUGCUUAUGCAAGUUUUUUUUUCUGCUGUGGAUUGUUGAUGCUGCAGGAGCAGAUAGACUGAUGUGCCUUGAAUUCCAACAAGGAGAAGGUAGUGUGUUGUUCUUUUUGAAUAAAGAGUGAG
rnacentral:lncRNA from 1 species